rnacentral:rRNA from 1 species
UACGUAGGCAGCGAGCGUUGUUCGGAGUUACUGGGCGUAAAGGGUGCGUAGGCGGUUGUUUGAGUUUGGUGUGAAAUCUCCCGGCUCAACUGGGAGGGUGCGCCGAAUACUGAAUGACUAGAGUGCGGGAGAGGAUAGUGGAAUUCCUGGUGUAGCGGUGAAAUGCGUAGAUAUCAGGAGGAACACCGGUGGUGUAGACGGCUAUCUGGACCGUAACUGACGCUGAGGCACGAAAGCGUGGGUAGCAAACAGG